rnacentral:rRNA from 1 species
UACGUAGGGUGCAAGCGUUGUCCGGAAUUAUUGGGCGUAAAGAGCUCGUAGGCGGUGUGUCGCGUCGGCCGUGAAAACCUGCAGCUUAACUGUGGGCUUGCGGUCGAUACGGGCAUCACUGGAGUUCGGCAGGGGAGACUGGAAUUCCUGGUGUAGCGGUGAAAUGCGCAGAUAUCAGGAGGAACACCGGUGGCGAAGGCGGGUCUCUGGGCCGAUGACUGACGCUGAGGAGCGAAAGCGUGGGGAGCAACAGG